UGAAGGGAAAGCACAGCGUACUAUAUUCGAAAAUGGCGGUUAAAAGCGAAUUCGAUUUGGUCAGUAGCAUCGCUAGAUUGACUUAAAGUGUUGUUAAUUGGAACGAAGAUUGAGUGCAAACUACAGAAAAAGGGUCCGACCAACAAUGUCCUUGACGAGAAGGCAAGAAGAUGCUUCUUGAUUGUUGUUUGAUGGUUGUGGCGAGUGCGAAGGGAGCCAUUUCAUUACCCGAAAGGGGCCCUUCCGGCCAUUCCUAGAGGCGCCACUUUAAAAUGACAUUCGAAUAAUUCUCCAAACGAAUCCGUUCAAUUUCAACUUGAGAUGCAAAUCCAAAUUCGAACAGGUUCCACUUUCCACUGUUAGAAAUAUGAUAUCCCCAAAGGAUUUUCCGGAACGCAGGGAUGCAUUUUUGUAAUCUCGACUGACUAAAACAAGCAUAGUUUUUAACGAUUUUGAAAGCCUCAAAGUGCGAGGUGAUUAGAAUUCUUUUGGAACUCCAACGGCAAUCCGUAUCGCCAAAUGACUUUUCCAUCAAAAUGUCGUGAAAAACAGACCAAAAGUAAUAACAGAGUACUCUUCGGUUGUUGGACAUGCUCUUCUAGAGUUGAACUCCAAUACCCACAUUUUACGGAGCUUGUUGUAGAUCUCCGGAUCAAUGCUUUAAUUCUAAACAUGUGAAAUAAACCCCUGUGUUUAUUGUAAGUUCGCUAUCGAGAAGAAGCCACGAAGUCUCUGCUUGAAGAACAUCUGAACAAGUUUUGUUCCGAUGUUUGUCGAUGCUUUUAAAGAGAGCGAUGAAAAAGACAUUCGAGUUUAUGGUCGAAAUAACCUCGUCGUAAUAUUCUUUUCACUUGCAGGCUUUUCUAAUACUCUGGGCAAACAAAGGCUAAGGCUGUCUGUGGGCGGAUUGAACCUCCCUCGUCUCCUUUCUGGCCUCGAAAUGGACCCAUCAAGUACAAUGUGCUCCUAUGCCUGACUACUAGAACUACUUCCUUUGUGGCCAAAGGAAGCGUACGUCCACGUUGGAUAUCUGCCCGGUAUCCCUCGUCAUCUCUGGAAGUAUUCGCUCUUAUCCGCAUCAGUGACAUUUCUAGGUUUCAUCCUGAGAGAGUGAGGUCGUCGAGAGGUCCAGAAAUAACCCCUCUCACUCAGGGCUCGGUUUGUUGUCAAAUGAAGAGGGGAAGCCGAGGACAUGAGAGUCCAAUCCAUUCACUUGGGGGGCUCACAAUCUGACGCCCAAGACCAGUGUGCACUACCUCUGCACACCCCAUGAGGGUACACGAGUGGGGAUACGCAUACAUGUUUGCCUGAACUAAUCCUAUGCUAAGUAGUCAUGAGAUUCAUUAGCUUGGCUUUCUCCCAAGUUGAAUGACGGAAAUGGAGGAGGAGGAAGAGGGGUGUUUUGUGUGACUGGUUCAGCCCUGUUCUCUUUUCCAUUUUGGAGAUGCGAUGACCCCAAUGGAAGAUGACGAAGGGGAAUGAGUGUCGUGGACUUCUUAACACAAGCUAUCCAAAGGCAUUGAAGGCUAUGUCCUUGGAAGAAAAUGUGAGGUUGGUCUGCUGUAAAGGGUCUAGUGGUAGAAAGUUGUUGCCCUGUGAAAAUCAAGAAGGCAAGAAAGGAUUUCCGAUUUCUUUCAAACAAUACGUGGUCGAUAUUGGGUAAGAAUUGAAACGAACUUAAAAAGAGCUCCUAUCUGAAACUUGAUUAUUUUGCUACGUCAAGCCUUUUAACAUAGGAAAAAGCUAAAAUUUGAUUUUAAUUUCUUUUGGCCCCGGAAUAUUGAACAAUAAAGGGAAAAAAGAAAAUGAAGAAUCCACACAGUGCAACGGCCUUCUAAAAUAUAUUUGUAUCGUUCUGAGCUAUCAGAACAAGAAGCUAUGGAAACUACAUUUAUAACGUUUAUUACUGCGAUUUCAACUCAAACUAACAAACGCCCUCUAUCAUGCAAUAUAUUGACAUUUCCUGAACAUUUAUGUAAAGCAUAUUCAUACGUGUUGAUUGUUUAAUAUUUAGAAGAAAAUAUAACCCAAGUGACACUAUUUUCCCAAAUCCUUGUCCCUACCUAAUGGCAAAUAGUGAAUGGUUCUA